UAGUUUAGAAAACUACAACUGCUUUCUUAUAUAAGGCUUGGGUACUUAUUUCCUAUUGAAUAUAAAUUGUUUGAAAUCAAAUAAAAAAUUCCACAUAAUUAUCACAAUAAAACAGAAAAUUAAGCCAUCCUAUGUCAUCCUGGCAACCUAUCUGUGUUAGUUAAAACUAGAAAAAAGCACUUUCAUACUAAUCUGCAAAAAUCAAAACACCUUUAUUUUGGGGGAAAUAGGAGUAGCCAAAAGAGGCUGACACUAACCGCACUUGGUUUCCUCACCAUACUUUACAUUUUGUAAAACAGAUCAGUUAAGGGAAAAAAAUAUGAAAUUAAACAAACGGAAAAUGACUGUAUUACAGCAGAGACUGCAACGUAUUUGUAGCCGUUUCGCCAUGUUACUAUCGGUGUUCAUUAAGAAGUUUCAGAGACUUAAGAAGUCCACAAGCUUCAGAGAAAUACU